CCCAACCCAUCUUGAAACACGGUCAAAAACCCCGUGGCGCAAUAAAAGUGAAAUCUGGCGAAUGACGGCAGAGGUUGGAUCCUGGCCUUUCGGAGUCGAGUACACCACUGGCUAAUCUCGCCUGGAAGUGGAGAAUGAACGUGUUCCAUAGGACCCGGAAAAUGGUAAACUAUGCCUGGGCAGUGGGAAACCAGAGGUCUGUGCGACCUGGGUAUAGUGGAGAAAGACUAAUCAAACCAUCUAGUAGCUGGUUUAGUGCGGAUCUUGGUGGUAGUACCAAAUAUUCAAACGAGAACUUUGAAUGCUGAAGUGAAGAAGGGUUCAGCAGGGGAACAGCAGUUGAACAUGGGUCAGUCGGUCCUAAGAGAUGGGCGAACGCCGUUCGGAAGGGCGGUGCGAUCGACUACAUCGCGCCCGGCUGAUUGAAAGGGAGUCAGGUUUAGCUCCCCAGACCUGGAGUGGUAGAGAUAGGCACCACGUGGCGCCCAGUGCAGUGGUGCAAACGAUUCCCGAGAAGCUGGGGGGAGAGUUUUCUUUUCUUUGUGGGAGAGAGGGGGCAGUGCUCUGUUAAGUGUUGCAGUUCCAGCAGCAACGGGUGAGCUCACUUCUACUGUUCAGAGCAGGGUUAAGUUACAUAAGAGCAUAAGCCAUAAGAAAUAAUAUGUCUCAGUGCAUAGUUCUGAGUG
rfam:Gasterosteus aculeatus cont1.001075, whole genome shotgun sequence.